UCUUUUGACUUAUUGAAAUUUUAUCUUUUAAAGAGGUAUUACAAACCCCCCCUCCCCAAGUUAUUAUGCCAUAUUGGAUUGAUGAUUGAGCCAUUGUAUAAUAUGCUAUUAUAAUAAAGUUUUUGUUUAAUAAGUUUUCAAAAUGAAUGUUCCAUGUUAAAUUUUGAUCAAUUGUAAUGCCGAGAUAAUUAGAGAAAGCUUGUUUAAAUAAUUUAGGGCAGGUGCACGUUGUGGAGUUGCAAUUUAAUUGAUUAUGUAGUGAUUUCACUUUUUUGUAGUGUGGUGUAGUUCUUAUACCAUUGCUGAAAUCAACAAAUUUGGAUUUAUCAUAAUUUAUUAACUGAAAACCACUUAUCUAUUAUUAAAAUGUCAGCUUCAGAUUUAUUCCAAACCAUAUCCUAGGUAGAAUCUGAGACUAUGUGGGCCGUAUCGUUAGCAUAUGAAUGCAUUUUACCAUUGAUAUUAAGCUUGCUUAAAGCAGCUAUGUACAUUGUGUAUAAAAUUGGUGAGAGCUGUACCUUAAGGGACUCCAUUAUUGAUUUGGCCUAUUUCGCUUACUGUGUUACCUAAUCUGACCUGUUGUGUUCUUUGUUCUAGGUAUGACUUUGUAAACUUAGGUAAAAAUUUGUAAUGCUGUCCCAGCAAUGCCAAAACAUUUUAAACCAUUACUAAAAUAGAGUGAGAUAUACUAUCAAAGGCUUUAUUGAGGUCUAAGAAUAUGCCAAUUAUCUUUUUACGUUUGUCUAAGUUAUAAUAGAUUUCAUUCAUAAGAUGAACCAAGGCCUUCAGUACCUAAACUUUUUUUAAUACUGAAUUGAGAAGCAGAGAGUAUAUUAUUUUCUUCUAAGUAAUUCAGUAGUCUUGUUUAAAUUACUUUUUCAAAUAUCUUAAAAAAU